rnacentral:tRNA from 1 species
GCGAAGGGAGCUAGGAGGUUUAGCUUUAGUUUGUGAUUCUAAAAUUCAUGGGUUCGAGUCCCAUUCUUCGCCC